rnacentral:lncRNA from 1 species
CGAGGCAAUGAGAACACCCUGGCAGGGCAGCUGAGCUGGGUGGAUCCUUGUUCUGUCACCAAGCCUUUAAGUCAUAUGCUGACAUGUUACAGUCCUGCCUGGGACCCUGCCCACAAAUACUUAAGAUACACGACUUUGGGAAUCACCCAACUGAUGGAAAGAACCAGGAAAGGGGUCAGGAUCUGCACCUUGGCAAACUUUGAAGAACACCCAAUUUGAUGAAUGAAAACUCCUCACUUGUGCUCUGGUGGUGUUUUAGGACAAUGGGCCCCUCCUGGAUGCUCCAGUGAAGCCCCAUAUCACCUUUUUCCUUCCUGUUUGCCAUAGCUCCAGGUGUAGGGACAGAUCAGAAGAUUCUGGAAAAGGCAGAUCACCAAAGAACUCAAGAUGUACUGAUAUUUUGCCAGUUUCCUUCAUCAACAAGGAUGGUAGAAAAUAGCAGCAAGUAAGGACUACAGAUUUCACCCAGAGGCAGAGCCUUGGAAAUAAGCAACUAGGCUGGCUGAGUUCCAGUUCAAGAGCAAUCAGAAAGGUUGUACCUGCCUACAAGAUUAUCAACACCAUGUGAGAACAUCCACUUUGCU